rnacentral:rRNA from 1 species
UCUGGCACCUUCGGUGUCCGAGUUGUAAUCUCUAGAAGUGUUUUCCGCGUUGGACCGCACACAAGUCUGUUGGAAUACAGCGGCAUAGUGGUGAGACCCCCGUAUAUGGUGCGGACGCCCAACGCUUUGUGAUACACUUUCGAAGAGUCGAGUUGUUUGGGAAUGCAGCUCAAAUUGGGUGGUAAAUUCCAUCUAAAGCUAAAUAUUGGCGAGAGACCGAUAGCGAACAAGUACCGUGAGGGAAAGAUGAAAAGCACUUUGGAAAGAGAGUUAACAGUACGUGAAAUUGUUGGAAGGGAAACGCUUGAAGUCAGACUUGCUUGCCGAGCAAUCGGUUUGCAGGCCAGCAUCAGUUUUCCGGGGUGGAUAAUGGUAGAGAGAAGGUAGCAGUUUCGGCUGUGUUAUAGCUCUCUGCUGGAUACACCUUGGGGGACUGAGGAACGCAGUGUGCCUUACGGCGGAUUUCUCGAGAUCUUCACACUUAGGAUGCUGGUGGAAUGGCUUUAAAC